rnacentral:rRNA from 1 species
GAUGAACGCUGGCGGCGUGCCUAAUACAUGCAAGUCGAGCGAACAGACGAGGAGCUUGCUCCUCUGACGUUAGCGGCGGACGGGUGAGUAACACGUGGAUAACCUACCUAUAAGACUGGGAUAACUUCGGGAAACCGGAGCUAAUACCGGAUAAUAUAUUGAACCGCAUGGUUCAAUAGUGAAAGACGGUUUUGCUGUCACUUAUAGAUGGAUCCGCGCCGCAUUAGCUAGUUGGUAAGGUAACGGCUUACCAAGGCAACGAUGCGUAGCCGACCUGAGAGGGUGAUCGGCCACACUGGAACUGAGACACGGUCCAGACUCCUACGGGAGGCAGCAGUAGGGAAUCUUCCGCAAUGGGCGAAAGCCUGACGGAGCAACGCCGCGUGAGUGAUGAAGGUCUUCGGAUCGUAAAACUCUGUUAUUAGGGAAGAACAAAUGUGUAAGUAACUAUGCACGUCUUGGCGGCACCUAAUCAGAAAGCCACGGCUAACUACGUG